UACGCUCCUCUCGAUCCCCUCGGCGCACGCUCCUCUCGCCGCCCCGGACCUGACAGCGGAGGGGCGAUCUCGCCGCCGCGGACCUCACAAGGAAUUCCCCUUAUCAGAUCUGGCGGAGGGAGACCCUAUGUCGAACCCUCCCUACCUCUCGUUCCUCCAUCCCCGUCGAGCGCCGCCGCCCUCUCCCCGAUCUAGAUCCGCGCCCCAUCUUCUGGUCUACCUCUUGCUGAAGUCGUGGUGUUGUGGUCAGGGCCCGAUCUCUCUGGCGGAUCUGGAUGGAGGGCGGGGGAGGGCGAGGGCGAGCUCGCCGUCUCCCUCGCGCUCGACGCUAGCGGGGACGCGGGCUUCGACGCGACCGCCUACAUGGGCAUGCUCCGGGCGCGGCGCUUCGGGAGGUGGAUGCGUUGGUCGCCGCAGAUGGCAUCCACGCACGACCUCGUGACACAGAACUUCGCCAAACUUCCGAUGGGCGUCGUGGGCGCCACAGACAUGCAGUUCAAAGGCAGAGUUCAGUUAACUCAAGCUAUUACAAUUCACUCAGUCGCGGCGUCUCUAGGGGCAGCAGAAGAACCGUGGGUGUGAUCCGUGAGCACAGACGCGCAGAUCUGUGGGGAAGCAACAUGCAGACAUGGAUGGAAGAUGGGAGACCUAGCUCUAGCUGCCUGAGCUGUCCACCGGCAAGAUGAACCCACAAGCACCAUGGUGGACAAAGAGGAGUGUGCGUACAAUAUUAAAGGAGGGGAUGGGGGUAAAGAGAUACAAUCCCUACUGCCCACAUUAUCUAAGCUCUAAAUCUCGUGCUGCCCACGUUGCCAAAGCCCCAAGGAAGGCUUCGACCUCUCCCUUCAGGAUGCCCUCUCUCUUGGGGACUUUGUGUAAAUUGUUCAGUGCGGCGAGACGGCCGGUGUGUGCGCUGGGGCACUGGCGAGACUCCCUGACAGGCAUAUUCUGGGGACCAGCAACUCCGACGACCGGAGGUAGAGGGUUAUUUGCUCGAAGAAGUACAAGAAGAGAGCAAGAGGCUGGCCUCCAAGAUCAAUGCUGAAAUAGAUGAAGAAUGCAUGCCCAACUGCAGCCAUGACAUGUGCAUCAAGUGCUACAGUCAAUGGUCAGUAAGAAUACAACGCAUGAUCCCAGUUAUUAUGUUUCCUGCCAUGUUCAUUCAACUAGAGCAAACAUGUUUGGUGUUUGGUUUAAUGCGAGCUUCGGAGAUAUCACUCAACACUUCAUUCUGGUGUUAUUAAGUGCUUCAGCAGACACAAAUGUAGCAUAUUUUUACUGAUAGCAAUGCACUAUGAGUAAUUAAGCUGGUGUGACCAUCAUUUAUUGAAAAUAUGCUGCAACCUAUGCAUCUGCUUACCAGUAUUGUCCUUGGCAACUUCAACCAAACUUUUAUUUUAGUUGAUUCCACCUUCUAUGGUUUUAGAAAUUCAUUGUUUUUGUAUGCUUAAUUGAGCAGAGCUCGUUCAUAGUGAUCUUCUGCCAAUGACACAAAUGUAGGAAUGAGAUACACAUGCAAUGUAAGAAACAGAGAAAGGAAGCUAAAAGUUGAAAGCAUUAUAUGUUUUUGUGACUAUACAUAUUAGUAUUGCCUUAAAAAUUGAAUAAGGAAUAUUUUAUUUGGUAUGUACCACAAAAUGUGUUCGUCCAGUAGGUGAUGGUUUGUUCAUUCUUCUCCAAGGUGCGGAUAUAUUUGGACUUUUGCAACUAUGCUUGUGCCUGGUUUUACUGAUUACGAGACAUCUCCAGAUGAUUGGUUAUCUGGCCAUAUUUUCCAACUGUAUAAGCUUUGUGAAAUCUUGAGAUCUUCCUCGUUUUAGCUAAUUCAGUGUUCUGUAUAACAGUGAUUUUGCAGAGAUAUUGGAUGUUAACUUAUUCAUAUCCUCAUCCUAAAGAUCAUAUGACAAGUACUUGAUAUAAUUUUGCUUUCAAAAAUGAAAACACCUAGGUGAUUAUCCUGGCUAUCAUAUCUGUACAAGCAAGAUUAUCAUAAUAACUAAGCAAUUUUUUCUUCAUGUUAUUAUACAAUGCUUAAUUUGAUUCAACAAGGAUAAUGAUACUGCAAGGCUUGAAAAUUUUAGACUAUGAUCACUUUGUAUGCCAAGCUGGAAAUUUGACGUGCCUUAAAGCACCUACAGCUGGAGUGGCAAAUCCGGGUGACUCAAACGCCCUGCGGAUGUGUCUGCGAGCACUGUCCGGCCAGUCGUCAAAAAUCGCCGUCCACAUCCGUGUUUCUCAUAUCCAAUCCACAUAUGUGUAUCUCAUAUCCACUGACCUGUCAUAUCUCAGGUCUUAUAUAUGCAACCAGUAAAUUAUUUGGGAUGCCUGGCUGUAUGGGUGGCAGCCACCGUCCCUGUUAUUGCCUCCAGGGUUGGUCCGCCCCUCUUCCCAUAUGUCGACGCCGGUCAGUGUGCUCCUGGUUUCUACAGAAGUAGAGGCGACCAGGAGGGCACGUAUGGGUGUGUACAUGGAAAGGACCACUAUGAUCAUGCUCGAUUUGCUCCGAGCAGGAGGACUAUGCAUCAAUUCCAUCGCCAUCUGUGAGAUCUCCCUCUUCAAGGAUGCGCAACAUCCAAACAUAUGGUUGCAGGACGAGGUGCACACCUGCACCAUGAGAAGUGCAUAUGCCGACUCAUCCCAGAGACCCGAACUUCAAGAACUUUCUCGUCGAGCACCUCAUGCGGAGAGGCUUUGAGAAGUUAGGUUUUCCUCGAGGAGGAUCUUCUAACCAGAAUAAACAUUCUAGCCCAAAGCUCCAUCUCAUAUGGGGACCAACAAUGUACCAUUUUGAUGAUCUCCAUUCCCUGUGAGCAACUUGAUAGAGUCGAGUCCAAGUCCUCCGUUCGGAGCUGAAGCAAGUUGUCGCCUUCGGUCAGGUCACCCCCUAUUUUUCAUGGUGGAUGAGAUUGGAGGGUGGGGGACAAUACCUACUCUGGAGUCACUAGGUCUAAGUGUGGCAAAGUUAGGUCCAGGCUAUGAGGUCUGAUUGUGCUUGCAGAUUGGAAUUGUUGAAAACCUUAGCCUUCCUGAUCUAGCUAACAAAGAUUUUCAUGUGGCAAUAACGCGUGGAGGAUGACGGUCACGAGCGCAUUGUCGCAAGCUCACCGGAGGGAGGCACACAUCUCAUCCAAUAGAAAAGCACGCUCCAAAAAAUCCCUAACCCUCCAUGGAGCCAUUGCUAGGGAGCGACGAGAUCAACGCCACCCACCACGACCACCGAGUUGUACAAGUGCAGAGAUUUCUUGCCUGGCGUAUAACAAUGCGUGUUCAAUGGGGUAGCCUCUUCUCACGCACAAGUCUCAAGAGAGGCAGACAUCGACAACUAUUCAGAAUAACCACAACAAAAUUCUGACACAGGUGGUUAGUGGGAGAAGGAACCUGAGACCGCAACCGAUUCUGCUGCAAGGGUGGUGUGUAGAAGAUAGUUGUAGCAAGCAUAUAAGUCACUCUGGAAAAAGGCUUCGUGACUGAGCUGGCGAAGAAGAUGUCAGUGGUGGAAGCGGACAUGUUAUAGAAGAUGUUGAGGGUGGCACCGGAGGUAAUGGACAAAUGGGGUUCCUCGGCACCGAAGAGAAGGAUGCUGCAGCGACACCGACACGUACUGGGUUCCAUUUCCAACCAGAGAGAGCUUAUGAACGGUAUAUGCGUGAUCCAUUCAUUCUUUCGUUUGAUCCUUCCUUAUUCCUCUCAACUCAGAUUAAUUUUAUUUUGUAAUUAUGCAUGAUUUUGAUGGAUCAAUAAAUUUAGUGGCAUUAAUUGCAAUGAGAAAUAUCGUAUAUCCAUAAACUUCACUUUGUUGUUUUUCAGCUGAACAUGAUAGUUUGUGUCUUUUUGUUAUGGACUUCAAUAUGGUCAAUGGUAGCUUGCUGAAUAAAGCAAGACCCAACACAUAAUUUCAUGCCGAGAGUUUGACCUGUUUAAUUUUGUACGGAAAAUAUUUGCUGCUAAUAAUGAGAAAGUUCUGAUUUGUAAAUGCAAUAUUCUUCCAUGUAUACGGAAUUACAGAUUGAACAAAAUAUAAGCCAAAGUUGAAUCUCAAGCCUUAAUUAAUACUAAAAAAUAAUAUAGGUUUGGUAUAUGUGUAGAAUAGGAUAUUUUUCCUUGAGAAUCUACUAGAUGAGGUGGUCGUUGUCGACAUCCUUGUGAAAGUUCGCAUGAUCUUAGCACGAACCAACUCACAAUGUUAUCUCGAGCAAUGCUUUAUUCACUUAAGUCUCUUUUUUAGGAAAACACUAGGUUAAAAGCCUACUGUGAAAAAUUAUAUGCAAAGUUAUUAUAAUUGCCAUUUAUGGUCACGAAUGAUCUUACUGAAUGACUGUUCUCAUGGCCUUCAAAGAAGAGAUAUACUAGAAGUUGAGUGCAGUUGGAGGGGCCUUAGUCCUUAUGAGCCAAGAAAAGUAGAUGUGGCCUGUCCAAGCUUUGAAUAGUAGAUGGGGGAAUGUUAAAAUAUUUUAUGAUGCCAUGGUUCUAAAUGGUCAGGUAUGUGUCGCAACUUGUUUUUUUUCAUGGGAUGAUUGGUCUUAAGCAUAAAAAGCCAUCCAUGUGCCACCUAUCAUUUGUAAUGCACAAUAUCGAGUUCUAUGUUUUUGUACCACUUUCUUUAUUUUCUACAUUAGAUCUGACAAUAUAUGUUAGUGAAUUACAUUUUUAUUGAAAUAGAUUACAAGUGAAGAGGAUUUCAAUUGUUUUUUGUAUGUUAUUGGCUAACUUUUUUAUACGUGCGAAAUUUGAUAUGCAAUCAGUAACAACCAACCCACAAUGAAUAGGCAGACAUACUAAUGCUAUUAAUAACCCAAUAUCAACAAAAGAAUGUUCUUAAUUUUUUUAGGCCCGUGGCAACGCACGGGCACUCUACUAGUACCUAGCUAGUUUUGCACUCUCCAUUCUUGCUCCCACAACAAAACUUCCGAAUUAACAAAUUAACAUGUUAACUUAGGCCCCUUGGAAGUUUAAAGCAGGACACUGAGUAAACAUGAAUUGCAUGAGCCACAGACUUUAGUUCGCAAAAAAAAAGACUUUAUCAUAAUGUCCUUUCCUCCAACGGAGAGAAGUUUUUCCUUCCAUCCCCUGAACUGGUUCCACACGCUAUCCUUCAAAUACUUAAAUGCAUCAUUCUUUGAAUCACCAACAUCAGAAGGCAUCCCCAAAUACUCUUUGGACAAAGAUUCAUUUGGUACCUGGAGAUGGGUUUCCACCUCCAUUCGGACUAACUCCGGUCAACCUUUGCUGAAAAAGGUUGAAGAUUUGAUAAAUUAGUUCUUUGCGCUGUGGACCGAUACAAAAUCGUGUUGGAUGGCUUCCGGGUCUGGGCUGCUGAGUUCGGACGGAUGCGGAUGGUUUGAGGGGUCGGCGUUGGAGAUGCCUAUAAAUAGGUAUAGAAGACAUGAGUAGAAGACUCAGUCUUUUUCUAUUUGACCUUUUUACUGUCCACGUACCUGGUAGAAAUUGAAUACCCGUGAGCCGUGACCACCACUUACUCAUUCAGUCAUGCAACGAAAUGCUCAGUCAGACAAAAUACUCAUUCAGUCAUAAAAGGGAAAGAAAAGUCAAAGAUGGCCAAAGGCUCUCGAUGAAUGCAACCUGCACACACCUAACAGGAAUCGAUAGCCGGUCAACAAAAGGAUAGACAUGGUCGUCGACGCAAACGCUGACUUAUGAUUUUUCAAAGAAAAACUGCCGGUCAAAUGUAGCGGCCGGAGUCUGCAAAGUCCGAUCGAUCUUUUUUUGACUCGUCUACGCAUGCCGAUUGAGAUUUAUGCACACACGUCGCACUCGGCACAGCUACCACUACCAGGACGGCGGGUAUAAAUACGGCAUCGGUGCAGCGCAGCUGUGCAGGCUGUAGCUCCUCCAAGCACACAGAAGUAACACACGCAUCCUUCCUUGCUUCCUUCAGGCUUCAACCAUGG